GACGUAGGGCGCGAGCGUUGUCCGGAUUUAUUGGGCGUAAAGAGCUCGUAGGCGGCUUGUCGCGUCGUCCGUGAAAACCUGCGGCUCAACUGCAGGCUGGCGGCCGAUACGGGCAGGCUGGAGUUCGGUAGGGGAGACUGGAAUUCCUGGUGUAGCGGUGAAAUGCGCAGAUAUCAGGAGGAACACCGGUGGCGAAGGCGGGUCUCUGGGCCGAUACUGACGCUGAGGAGCGAAAGCGUGGGGAGCGAACAGG
rnacentral:rRNA from 1 species